rnacentral:lncRNA from 1 species
CUAUGAGCAGCACUACCCUCUAAUGUUGGUAUGAGGUUAAUAUGGUGCAUAUAUAACAGUUCUUAGAAUAGCAGAUUUGCACAGUCAUAAAGUGAGUGCUUUACAAGCAGCAGCAGUAGUGGGAGAUACUUUUGUGGAAAUAAUGACAAUAUAAUGUUCAUGUAGAUAAUGAUGAUGAUACUCAGUUACUCUCUUGAGGAAGUUGAAAAAUCCAAGAAGACACAGCCAAUGCCAGAUAUGUUCUCCACUCGGGAUGAGAUCAGUAGGCAAAAAAGCCAAGCAGUAGAGGAAUGGAUAUGUCAAAAGCUCAUCCCUGCCAGGAGAACUAUGAAUGAAAACUGAUCUUAAUGCUACAAAAUUAGGUUCAAUCCACCCAUAAACACUUGAAGGGAGCAACCAUCUUGUAUUUUGUGAUGUAAGUAUUUUCAUAAAUUAGCAGAUGAGUCAUGGUGAGUAUGACAGCUUUUUCCAU